CUACGGGAGGCAGCAGUAAGGAAUAUUGGACAAUGGGGGCAACCCUGAUCCAGCCAUGCCGCGUGAGUGAUGAAGGCCCUAGGGUUGUAAAGCUCUUUUGUGCGGGAAGAUAAUGACGGUACCGCAAGAAUAAGCCCCGGCUAACUUCGUGCCAGCAGCCGCGGUAAUACGAAGGGGGCUAGCGUUGCUCGGAAUCACUGGGCGUAAAGGGUGCGUAGGCGGGUUUUUAAGUCAGGGGUGAAAUCCUGGAGCUCAACUCCAGAACUGCCUUUGAUACUGGCGACCUUGAGUCCGGGAGAGGUGAGUGGAACUGCGAGUGUAGAGGUGAAAUUCGUAGAUAUUCGCAAGAACGCCAGUGGCGAAGGCGGCUCACUGGCCCGGUACUGACGCUGAGGUGCGAAAGCGUGGGGAGCAAACAGGAUUAGAAACCCGAGUAGUCC
rnacentral:rRNA from 1 species